UCAAACUCCUGACCUCAAGUAAACCUCCCAAAGUGCUGGAAUUACAGGCAUGAGCCACCACCCCGAGCAGCAAUACCUUUCUUAAUGUGAUUUGCUUAUAUUUGCAUCUCAUUGAAUAGGAGUGAUAUAAAACAAAUAUCCACAUUUAUAUAUAUUGAAAAGAGUUAUUGUCAUUAAUUGUGAGGUAAAAAUUAUAAGGCAUAGGAAGUAUUUGUACCAUAUCUUGUCAAUUUUAUUCCUUUACUGUGGCGUAAAAUAAUGAUGUAUUUUGCAAUUGAUACAAAAAAUGCAUUUAAAUUACUUAGAAAACACUGUCAGUGUUGGCAUACUGAUGUUGUGAUUACUAUAGACCUGAUAUUUAUCUACAGGCAUUAUGUAUCAUUAGUUCAUUCAUUCCUCCCAAAAUAUCAAAAGGUAGGUUCUGCUACCACUCCUAUGUACAAGUUCUGAAUUUGAGCUAAAGCCCUGCAAAAAAAGGAAGAGAAUAUGCUCUAAUCUGUCUCCACAGUCCUUGCUCCCAUAAACUAUGUUAUAAAAUGUUUUUCUGUUAAAUUGUGACUACAUUGUAGGUCUAAUUUAGUAAAUCUUAUGCUAGCCCAUAGUCAUGAAGAUAUUUUCCUAACAUAGGUUGUAAAUACUAUAUUAAACUGUAUUUGUAUUUGGAUCUAUGAUGCACCUGCAAUUAAUUUUAUGUGUAAUGUGAAGUUAAAGGUACAUUUAACUUCCUUCAGUGAAUAUCAAUUUCCUGGAACAUUGAUUGUAAAAGCCAUCUUUCUACUAAUAAUUGCUCUUAUUACUUAUUUGCAUUUAUAUUAUUUUGUCUGUUUUGAGCUUUCCUUUAUUUCAUUGGUUCACCUUUCUAUCUGUGCAAACAUUACAUUGUCUUAAUUACUAAGAGUCUUCAUUUAAUCCAAGAAUUUUCCAUCCACAGCCCUUUAGCCUAUCUAUUGUCGUGUUCUAAAAAGAAGAAAGAGGCGAGUAAAUCCUGGAUGCCUUGCUCCUACACCAAUAUUUCCAGCUGUACCUUGAAAUAAAAGGAUUUAGAACUUGAGAACAUUGCUGUUGUUGCUUAUGUCUCUAAUGUUCUCAAGAAUCUUAGACAAUCCCUGAACACUGCGCCCCACUUUAUUUGUUUAGUACAGUCCCAGUGAAAUAAAUUAGAUGUCAAGGCUCCUCAUUAUGUUUGCCUGGUUUUUGGAACCUGGGAGACUUUGUACUCCUCCAGCAACAGCCAGAGGUGGCAGAGACCUGUCAGUCAUUCCCUGGGUGCCUCCUGCGCAAGCGCAGUUGUCCUCCUGCUGCCGACCACGAAUGCGGUGCUCCUGCUGCAGACCACGCCUACCAAGGGUCGGCCUCAGCCACUGCAGCUGAGCUCAGAGCCUUCUGUGGGGUUUGCGGGGGGCAAGGUCAGCUGCCCACUGCCCUCCCUCUGGGGCUAUUUGAGGAAUGCGGUCCUUUUGCAUAAGAAAGGCUUUUCUCUGCAAUAAUUGUGUUCGCUGAUCAAUGACACCUUCCUGAUGUAAGUGGGAUCCGUGGAUCUGAAAAUUCACAGUGGCCCACUCACCACCACCUGAUGAAGAAUACACCACAGGGUGAGAGCAUCCUAACAGCAAACUGCAAAUGAAGUGGGUUUGCAGCUGCACAGAGAAGGGACCCCAGAGGCGAGGAUAAUUCGUCCGACCUCACUGGUGAGAAUACGUAGGUGUUGAAC